GGACCAACCAAAGAUUGCCACGUAGUCAGGGUAACGGCCCAUAAAGGAUAAAGCCCAUUAGAUCCACAAGUCAAAAGAACAAUCGAAGUGGUUAUCACCAUAAGGAGAAUCCGAAGUGACUGCACCUCGACACGAGUCCGGAGACGAAGUCAUGGUUAAGUCGGUCCAAGGACAUUUGGGCCAAAAGGCGAGGCCCAUGAAGAUCAUAAUCAACU
rnacentral:lncRNA from 1 species